CAAUGAGUACAGGAUAGUACCAUUAAUUUAUUUUCCUUAUGCUUUUCUUAACAUUUUUGUUUCUAGCUUGCUUUAUUGUAAAUAUACAGCAUAUAGUAAAUAUAGCAUACAAAAUACAUGGUAAUCAACUGUUUCUGUUAUUUGGUAAGGCUCUGGUCAAUAGCAGCCUAUUACGUUUCGGGGGAGUCUAAAAUUAUACAUGGGUGUUUGUAUAGGGGGGUGGUGCCCCAACCCCCAUGUUGUAUAUGGAUCAGUUGUAUGUACAUAUUUUAUGAAAUUGCUUUUAACUCAUUUAAGAAAAGAAAUGAGAAAAUAUGCAUGUAUAAGUUUAACAAUGUUCUUUGGUCAUGGAUUUGUGUAACUGAGAUGACCUGUUUUCCAUCUGAAGAACUUACUAGAAAAUCUCUUGUAAAAUGAAUUGACUGGCAACAAAUUCUUUCAGUUUCUGUUUACCUAGGGAAGUCUAUUUCACCUUCAUUUUUAAAAGAUACCUUUGCUGAAUAUCAGAUUAUUGGUUCACAGUUUUAAUUUUUUUUGUUUGAGACUUUGAAUGUUUUCCCACUGCUUUCUAGCUUCAGUUGUUGCUGCUGAGAAGUCAACCAUUGCUCUUACUGGGCUUCCUCGUUAAGAGCGACAUGGCUCCACUUUGAAGCCCUGAAAGACCAUGCUAUGAGCUACAGUCCACCAAGACCAAGGCUACCCCACCCAGAGUGUGGAUGAGGAAUUGCAGAUACAAUGAGAAGUAGGAAAGCAAAUGAGGAGGAAUGGGGCAUAAUGUGUUUCCCAAGAAGAGGAGAUACCGCGUUUGAAAGCCCAGAAGUCCGUGAGAAUGUGGUGUGUUCGAGAAACCAACAGAAUCCCACACAACACAGUGAUGAAAGGCAAGCUUUGACCUUAAGGGAUAUCUUUGGUUGAGAGCGGAAAUGGAAAAGAUGUACCAAUGAGGAAAGCUGAGUAUUCUACAGAAGCAGGCACGAGGAACCACCCAGGCAAAGACAAGAAUGAGGAGAAUUGAGAAGAAAGGCUGGAAUGUGUCAAUGCCAACAGAGGGCUGAAAUUAUCCCGCAUCCAACCACCAAAGACUACCGUGUUUUGGGACAUAAAGAAUCUGGCACUAGCAGUCCGACAUCACAGUGCGGUGUGUUAGGGGGCUCAAACCAGACGCUGUUUGUGAAAACAUUCUAUUCACUAGUAUGCACAUAGUCCACACCCCGGUCCUAAAUCUACAGCAAUAACCCUGAAAACCAGAGUCUGGAGUUGUGAGGUGCUCCCCGCCCCCUCCGCGAGCAGCCGGC